rnacentral:lncRNA from 7 species
GCGGCCAUGGCUUGGCGGACCUCGGCUGUGGGAGCUCUUCCAACAAAAAGAUGACGGUAUGGGUUGUGGGAAGGUUUUACAUGGAGGUGACUCAGCAAAGCAUUUUUCUUUAGAGAAGCAGCUGGAAGGACAGAGAGUGGAAAGAAAAUGGGAAGUAUUGUGGAACAUGAGAAUAAAGGAACAACUCUGCAGCAAAUGCAAUGUCUUAACCACAGCACUGAACAACUGUUGAGAACCACACUGGAAGUGAGCACCAGAAAAUAAUGCUGUAGGAGGAGGCUGUGCAGAAUGGCAAUAACCCUCACUGUACCAUAAAAAACAACUGGAAGGUGUAGUGCAGGUUACAGCAUCUGAAAAGACACUUCUAGAGAAGGGGCACCACACUGCCUCAGAUAAGUGGCCGUAUCUGUGCUGGUGGAAAGUGAUACAGUUCCACUGGAGGGGAAGGGACCAAGGAGAUUUCCUUAUCUGCGGACCUGCUCAUUGGUUUGUAAGAUAUGAGCUUUCAUGGCCCAUUGACAUGUUUCAGUUCUUUUGUUCAUGACCACUUUUCUUCCAUGGUUUGUGUGCUACAGAUGGCAAACCUGAGUCUCUCUUUACGGCUCACACGGAGUAAAUGGUAUCAGUACCAGUGAACGAUGGAGAAAAAAAUGAUGAAAAUAAGGUUAAGAAGCACUGUGUACCUAAUUGCCUGUGAAUCUCACAUCUCGUGCUGACAGAGACAGGGAGUCGGAGUGCUCUGUUUGCUUCCACAUGCUCCAGAGAUCACGUAUGACCAAAAUGGUGACAGCUUCAGUAACAGGUUGCUUUGCCUUGCCGUGCUCUUCAAGAAAGAAAUCUAUUCUGCAAUAUACAACUUCCAUCUUUCUGAGAGGCUUUCCUCCUUGAAUCCUUAUCUGUGAAGGACUGGCAGAAGGAAAGGCAAGAACUUGAAAGCAGCCUGAAUCAAAGAUGGGCUGCUCAAGCCAUGUGGAGAGUGACUGCUGGGCAAGAGAGGAGCCUGCUGGCAGUGGCAGGAGGCACAGAGAGUGGCACUCAGUGGGCCCUUGCCAUUCAAGCGCUCUAAGAAAGCCACCACCCAAACUGGUGCUGCUGUGGGCCAGACCCACAGCAGACAGUGGGAACAGCAGCACAGUUAGAGUUUCAUAAGUUGAAAGGUCACAGGUAGCUGCUUCUGGAAAGAUAUUUGAGUACUAAACCUUCUCCAUUGUCACGUCCUUUUAUUUUUUUAUCUACUUAUUUAUUUGAUGGUUCUGGAAAUUACAUGUUUGAG